CCCCUGCAGCCCUGGGCGUAUCCAAGUCGCGUAUGGCAACGGAUACACGUCGACUACGCAACGAAGGAGGGCUUGAACUUUCUUGUGUUGGUGGAUGCUUUUUCAAAGUGGAUUGAAGUGUUUGUAGUGUCAAGCACGACCACUGAAAAAACUGUGCGGUGCCUCAGCUCUGUUUUUGCAGCCUACGGUUACCCAGAAGAGUUGGUGAGCGACAACGGCCCACAAUUCACCGCAGAGGACUUUGGGGUCUACCUGCAGCGGCAUGGCAUAAAACAUACCCGGAUACCACCGUAUCACGCAGCCUCGAAUGGAGCCGCUGAGCGCCUGGUACAAACUACGAAGACUACCCUGUUGAAACAAGAGACAUGAGGACUAAGCAAGAACGCGAAACUGCACUACGAAACGGCCGGAGAGGUCGGGGAGAGUCGUUUAUAGCAGGUGACAAAGUACUUGUAAAAACGACUAGAGGCGAGGAAGUGUCCUGGGAAGAAGGGCUGGUAACUCAAGUUGUGAGCCCCACUACAUAUUUGGUGAAUGUGAAUAAUCGAACACGGUUCAUCCAUAUGGACCAUCUCCGUGCAAGUUGGGCUUCUUCGACUGGGUCUGUUUUUCCUGAGAUCCCAGCUCCAACACCGAGCGCCACAACGGAAGCAGUCCCGGAGGGCAGCCGCGCUGGUCAACUACCCAAGGCGGAAUCUCCUGCUCCGAGGUUCCACGCCGCUGAGCUCCCGAGUCAAGGCACCGGCUCGGUUCCACACCCAGAGCAGCCCCUAGAGGUACCUGAGCCCGAUGAUCGACAGCCCACUCAACACAACGCUUCUGCCUCCGAGCCUCCUGCAGCUGCUCAGCAAGAUCAAGGCGACGGAUCUGCCUCUGCGUCUUCCACAGCACCAACGCUUCGAAGAGGAAGCCGGACCCGGAAAGCACCGGACCGCUACCAAUCGUACGAGUUUCGUCGUCAAGCCAAGUAGACUCGACCGUAAUGACAUGUAUGGCGGUUUUAAAGGCGGAAGGAAUGUUAUAUCUGUAAAGGUCGCAUGUGAUUCGCCCAACGUUAUUACGUCACUCUUGCUUACGUCUAUAAAACAGACUGUCUGGCCGUAAUAAAAGUUCAGUACGUUCCAG